AGAGAGAGAGAAACUUUUUAAAAAGCUAUUCAAAAAGACGAAUGAAUUAUUAUUAUGUUCAAAUGUACUAAAGGAUAUUGAUGAUGAUGAUGAUCAGACUCAAUCAAUUGUGAACAAUGACAAGACAUUCGAAUUUUGAAUAUUUUAUCCAAUAAAGGAUACAAUCAUCAGCAUUUGUACAUUGUUCGUAUGGUUGUGAUGGUGUUCACAAUAAAUACAGGGACUAUACUAUUAUUCAUCAAUGUAUUUAAAAAAAAAAAAUGUUUGAUUUGUUGAAAUUGAGAAAUUGCAACAUUGCAAUCCAACAAUCUUCACACCACCACAAAAUCCAUGUGUAAUAUAUAAGAUUUCAUGUUUUCUAUAUUUGUAUAUAAUGAUGAAUUUGGUACAUUAUGCCAUAUAUAUGAAUCAAAAUGAAUCAAUGUAUUCUCUCCUUUAUUUUAUUUUUUUUUUUUUUUCGUUCCAACAACGACAACAAUGGAAAAACCCUUAUGAAUGGUCCAUUAUAUAAUUGAUCAUGUAAAUUAUUUCGGAAGCAUGUGUCAUCAAACAAAAGAAAAAAAACGAUAAUUAUUUUUUCUCAUCUAGACACAUAAAUCUUGAACAAUUAUU